AAAGUCGGUCAUUUGAUGACGUCACAUCCUGUCAGGUCUGUUUCUGUUAGGUCAUUUCCUGUUAGCUUCUUUUCCUGGCUCAUCAGAAAGCAAGGCAGACAUGUGGAGCAUGGUCUGAAUGUUAUCCGCCGCCAUCUGCUCAAAUUCAUCAUAGAGGCAUUGCCUUUUCACCAGCAUGUCAGUGAAGGAACCCGAAGUAAACGGUCAAUCUUG